rnacentral:rRNA from 1 species
AAUCUGGCGGGACCACCCGCUAAGCCUAAAUACUCCUUGGUGACCGAUAGCGGACAAGUACCGUGAGGGAAAGGUGAAAAGAACCCCGGGAGGGGAGUGAAAUAGAACCUGAAACCAUUUGCUUACAAUCCGUCGGAGCGAUGACUUCGGUUGUUGUGACGGCGUGCCUUUUGAAGAAUGAGCCUGCGAGUUAGCGGUGUGUGGCGAGGUUAACCCGAGUGGGGUAGCCGUAGCGAAAGCGAGUCUGAAUAGGGCGAUUCAGUCGCACACUCUAGACCCGAAGCGGAGUGAUCUACCCAUGGCCAGGGUGAAGCGACGGUAAGACGUCGUGGAGGCCCGAACCCACCAAAGUUGAAAAUUUGGGGGAUGAGCUGUGGGUAGGGGUGAAAGGCCAAUCAAACUCCGUGAUAGCUGGUUCUCCCCGAAAUGCAUUUAGGUGCAGCGUCAUGUGUUUCUUGCCGGAGGUAGAGCUACUGGAUGGGCUAGGGGGCCUACAAGCUUACUGAACUCAGCCAAACUCCGAAUGCCGGCAAGUGAGAACAUGGCAGUGAGACUGCGGGGGAUAAGCUUCGUAGUCGAGAGGGAAACAGCCCAGACCACCAACUAAGGCCCCUAAGCGUGUGCUAAGUGGGAAAGGAUGUGGAGUCGCACAGACAACCAGGAGGUUGGCUUAGAAGCAGCCACCCUUGAAAGAGUGCGUAAUAGCUCACUGGUCAAGUGAUUCCGCGCCGACAAUUUAGCGGGGCUCAAGCACACCGCCGAAGUUGUGGCAUUCACACACCUGCUAGGCCUUCGUGGUCCAAGCGUGUGGAUGGGUAGGGGAGCGUCGUGUGGCGAGCGAAGCGGCCGGGUAACCGAGCCGUGGAUGCCACACGAGUGAGAAUGCAGGCAUGAGUAGCGAAAGACUGGUGAGAAACCAGUCCGCCGAAUGACCAAGGGUUCCAGGGCCAGGCUAAUCCGCCCUGGGUAAGUCGGGACCUAAGACGAGGCCGACAGGCGUAGUCGAUGGACAACGGGUUGAUAUUCCCGUACCGGCUGUACCGCGACCCUGCCGAGGCAGAGGAUGCUAAGCGUCCGAAUCCGCUGCGACCUUCGGGUCAAGGUGGAGGAGCACGCGAACCGAAUCUGUAGUAGGCAAGCAAUGGGGUGACGCAGGAAGGUAGCUCAACCCGGGCGAUGGUUGUCCCGGGGUAAGGAUGUAGGGCGAGACGUAGGCAAAUCCGCGUCUCACAUGCCUGAGAUCUGACGCCGAGCCGAUUAAGGCGAAGUGAGUGAUCCUAUGCUGCCGAGAAAAGCCUCUAGCGAGUUGUACAGCCGCCCGUACCCCAAACCGACACAGGUGGUCAGGUAGAGAAUACCAAGGCGAUCGAGAGAACUGUGGUUAAGGAACUCGGCAAAAUACCCCCGUAACUUCGGGAGAAGGGGGGCCGAUUGAUGUGACGGGACUUGCUCCCUGAGCACCGGUUGGCCGCAGAGACCAGGCCCAAGCGACUGUUUACUAAAAACAUAGGUCCAUGCGAAGUCGCAAGACGAUGUAUAUGGACUGACGCCUGCCCGGUGCUGGAACGUUAAGGGGACGGGUUAGCGACUUCGGUCGCGAAGCUCAGAACUUAAGCGCCAGUAAACGGCGGUGGUAACUAUAACCAUCCUAAGGUAGCGAAAUUCCUUGUCGGGUAAGUUCCGACCUGCACGAAUGGCGUAACGACUUGGGCGCUGUCUCAACCACAGACUCGGCGAAAUUGCACUACGAGUAAAGAUGCUCGUUACGCGCGGCAGGACGGAAAGACCCCGGGACCUUUACUACAGCUUGGUAUUGGUGGUCGGUUCGAUUUGUGUAGGAUAGGUGGGAGACUAUGAAGCGUGGACGCCAGUCCAUGUGGAGUCAUCGUUGAAAUACCACUCUGAUCGUGCUGGCUGUCUAACUUAGGUCCGUGAUCCGGAUCAAGGACAGUGCCUGGUGGGUAGUUUAACUGGGGCGGUUGCCUCCUAAAAUGUAACGGAGGCGCUCAAAGG